rnacentral:rRNA from 1 species
AGAAUCAACGCUGGCGGCGUGCCUAACACAUGCAAGUCGAACGAGAAAGUGGAGCAAUCCAUGAGUAAAGUGGCGCACGGGUGAGUAACACGUGACUAACCUACCCUUGAGUGGGGGAUAACCUAGAGAAAUCUGGGCUAAUACCGCAUAAUACCUUCGGGUCAAAGGAGCAAUUCGCUUAAGGAGGGGGUCGCGGCCGAUUAGUUAGUUGGCGGGGUAAUGGCCCACCAAGACUGUGAUCGGUAUCCGGCCUGAGAGGGCGCACGGACACACUGGAACUGAAACACGGUCCAGACUCCUACGGGAGGCAGCAGUGGGAAUUUGCGCAAUGGGGGAAACCCUGACGCAGCAACGCCGCGUGGAGGAUGAAGCCCCUUGGGGCGUAAACUCCUUUCGAUCGGGAAGAUAAUGACGGUACCGAGAGAAGAAGCCCCGGCUAACUUCGUGCCAGCAGCCGC